GGGCCCGCACAAGCAGUGGAGCAUGUGGUUUAAUUCGAUGCAACGCGAAGAACCUUACCAGGCCUUGACAUACUUGGAAGCUCUUGUAAUGAGAGUGUGCCUUUUGGAACCAAGAUACAGGUGCUGCAUGGCUGUCGUCAGCUCGUGUCGUGAGAUGUUCCGUUAAGUCGGAUAACGAGCGCAACCCCUACCGUUAGUUGCCAGCGUGUAAUGACGGGGACUCUAACGGAACUGCCGGUGCAAACCGUGAGGAAGGUGGGGACGACGUCAAAUCAUCACGGCCCUUACGUCCUGGCCACACACGUGCUACAAUGGUAGGUACAGAGGGAAGCCACCCCGCGAGGGGGAGCGGA
rnacentral:rRNA from 1 species